CUGCCAUUGAAGAAAGUUCAGAGAGAAAGUGUGAGAAAAUGAGAGAAAAUAUUAACGGAUUUUAGAAAGGGAACGGUGCGAAAAUUGCAUCUGCAUUCAUCUUCGUCUUCGAUUCGGAUUCUGCAAUUCAAGGUGUUGUGUACGGUGGUUCAAAACUCUGAAAGUUCAAAACUCUGAAAGGUUACGUUUCUUCGCUAUUGACGUUGCGGGGUUGGUUAUUGGGUGGUCGCUUUUUAUGGAAAGUUGAAGGUGGAUUGAAGCGAAGUCUAGGGCAAAGGAAAAUUUUGGAAAUACAAUUUGGAGCAUUGGGAAGGAGACAUAAU